rnacentral:miRNA from 1 species
GUUGCAAUUAAUAUCCUCUUCAUGAGUUCUAACAUCCUAUCUCAAUUUUUUUGGUGUAAUAUAUAUAUAUAUAUAAAUUGAGAUAGGAUGUUAGAACUCAUGAAGAGGAUAUUAAUUGCAAC